AUUGAACGCUGGCGGCAUGCUUUACACAUGCAAGUCGAACGGUAACAGGGUGCUUGCACCGCUGACGAGUGGCGAACGGGUGAGUAAUGCGUCGGAACGUGCCGAGUAGUGGGGGAUAACGCAGCGAAAGUUGUGCUAAUACCGCAUACGUACUGAGGUAGAAAGUGGGGGACCUUCGGGCCUCACGCUAUUCGAGCGGCCGACGUCUGAUUAGCUAGUAGGUGAGGUAAAGGCUCACCUAGGCGACGAUCAGUAGCGGGUCUGAGAGGAUGAUCCGGCAGACUGGGACUGAGAGAGGGCCCGGACUCCUACGGGAGGAAGCAGUGGGGAAUUUUGGACAAUGGGCGAAAGCCUGAUCCAGCCAUGCCGCGUGUCUGAAGAAGGCCUUCGGGUUGUAAAGGACUUUUGUCAGGGAGGAAAUCCCUAGCGUUAAUACCGCUGGGGGAUGACAGUACCUGAAGAAUAAGCACCGGCUAACUACGUGCCAGCCGCCGCCGUAACAC
rnacentral:rRNA from 1 species